rnacentral:rRNA from 1 species
AGUGAACGCUGGCGGUGGGCCUAACACAUGCAAGUCGAACGGCCGGACAGUGAGCGCUUGCCCUUACGGGUGGCGAGUGGCGGGUGGGUGAGGCAUACAUCAGCAUCUUCUAUUUCGUGGGUGAUUACGUAGGGCCGCUUACGAUACUGCAGCAUACGUCCUACGGGUGAAAGCAGGGGUGCAUGAGGGCUUGCGUGGUUGAUAGAGCCGAAGUCGGAUUAGCUUGGUGGCAGGGUAAAGGCACACCAAGGCAACGAUACGUAGCUGGCCUGAGAGGAUGAUCGGCCACACUGGAACUGAGACACGGUCCAGACUCCUACGGGAGGCAGCAGUAGGGAAUAUUGCGCAAUGGGCGAAAGCCUGAUCCAGCAAUACCGCGUGAGUGAUGAAGGCCUUCGGAUCGUAAAGCCCUGUUAUUAGGGAAGAAAAACUGUGUAAGAAAAUCCGCCCGUUCUGACGGUACCCAAUGAAAAAGCACCGGCUAACUACGUG